CGGGAUAACCCGGAGAAAUCCGGCCUAAUACCGCAUGUGGCCGAGGGGAGGCAUCUUCUUUCGGCCAAAGGAGGCGACUCCGGAGACGGAUGGGCAUGCGUGACAUUAGCUUGUUGGCGGGGUAACGGCCCACCAAGGCGACGAUGUCUAGGGGUUCUGAGAGGAAGGUCCCCCACACUGGUACUGAGACACGGACCAGACUCCUACGGGAGGCAGCAGUGAGGAAUAUUGGUCAAUGGGCGAGAGCCUGAACCAGCCAAGUCGCGUGAAGGAUGACGGCCCUAUGGGUUGUAAACUUCUUUUGUCAGGGAGCAAUUGGGUCCACGCGUGGGCUUAGCGAGAGUACCUGAAGAAAAAGCAUCGGCUAACUCCGUGCCAGCAGCCGCGGUAAUACGGAGGAUGCGAGCGUUAUCCGGAUUUAUUGGGUUUAAAGGGUGCGUAGGCGGAAUAUCAAGUCAGCGGUAAAAAUUCGGGGCUCAACCCCGUCGUGCCGUUGAAACUGAUGUUCUUGAGUGGGCGAGAAGUAUGCGGAAUGCGUGGUGUAGCGGUGAAAUGCAUAGAUAUCACGCAGAACUCCGAUUGCGAAGGCAGCAUACCGGCGCCCAACUGACGCUGAAGCACGAAAGCGUGGGUAUCGAACAGGAUUAGAUACCCUGGUAGUCCACGCAGUAAACGAUGAA
rnacentral:rRNA from 1 species